rnacentral:rRNA from 1 species
UACGUAGGGUGCGAGCGUUGUCCGGAAUUACUGGGCGUAAAGAGCUCGUAGGUGGUUUGUCGCGUUGUUCGUGAAACCGGGGGCUUAACCUCGGCGUGCGGGCGAUACGGGCAGACUGAGUACUGCAGGGGAGACUGGAAUUCCUGGUGUAGCGGUGAAAUGCGUAGAUAUCGUAAGGAAGACCAGUGGCGAAGGCGGGUCUCCGUGGACAGUUCCUGACGCUGAGGCACGAAGGUCAGGGGAGCAAACGGG